rnacentral:rRNA from 1 species
UACAGAGGGUGCGAGCGUUGUUCGGAAUUACUGGGCGUAAAGCGCGCGCAGGCGGCCUUUUAAGUCUCGUGGUGAAAUGCCGGGGCUCAACCCCGUGCCCGCCGGAGAUACUGGGAGGCUGGAGACAUGUAGAGGCAAGCGGAAUUCCGGGUGUAGCGGUGGAAUGCGUAGAGAUCCGGAAGAACACUGGAGGCGAAGGCGGCUUGCUGGGCAUUGUCUGACGCUGAGGCGCGAAAGCGUGGGGAGCGAACAGG